AUGCUGAGAGGAAUUUCCCUACAGGGGAUGUAUAAAGUAUACAUGUGUGAAAGUGUGAAGAACACUUUCACUUCAUCUUUCAUCUCAAACAUUUUAACUGCAGGUCAGGCUGCAAACACUUCACUUUCCAGCCUCCACUCACAGAUGGAGUCCCUCAUAAGCCUCCUGUUCAUGAUUUCUGGCUCUGUAGCUCUGCAGCAGAAUCUGCAGGCGAUGCUCGGAGAUGACCUCACUCUCCAGUGUCAGAUGUCCACAGAUGAAAUAAUCUCAGUGCUGAAGUGGAGCAGAGCUGACCUGAACACAGACGGCUACGUCUACUUCUACAGGAACAAACGCUUCUAUGAAAACUACCAACAUCCAUCUUUUCAUGGCCGAGUGAAGCUGAGGGACCCAGAGAUGAAGGAUGGAGACGUUUCUCUGAUCCUGAACAACGUCACGUUUAAUGACACUGGGAUGUAUGAGUGUCACGUAGCUGUGAGGAAGCCUGUGAGAAGUAAAAGAGUUCACACUGAGAUCAGUCACUUCAUCAACCUCACAGUCACAGGUGAGUUUGUGGAGCUCACACUCAGCUCCCACGUCAUAAAAACCUCAAAACAUAAAAGUGUGAAAUUAUAAACUAAAAAUCUAAAACUGCUUGCUGCUAGUAUUUCUCUGCUCUACAGAAGAUUAUCUGUGACUUGGCAAAUAGACAAACAAAAGCCAGUGAGCUAAAAUUUAUCCACAGCUUCUUCUGCUCAAUUCUUUCAGUGUUAAGUGUGAAGGGGGAAAGGCAUGCUGCUAACUCAGAUGGUAAACAUUAAACCACUGUUUACAGCUGAUGUUCUCUCUGCAGGUGAAACAGAUGAAAAGUUGUUGCAGCAGCGACUCGUGGAAAGUGAAGCUGGAAAAGUGCAGGAUGUUGGAGACGUAGUAACUCCGACUGUUAAGAUGGUUGUUUGUUAUGUUGCGGUUGCUGUUAUUGUUGUGGGUUUUCUGACAUUAUUCAUAUUUAAAAGAAUUCAGUAAAAAGGACUAGAUGUUACAGUCCCUGAUAAUGCAUUUGCUUUAGAUGGAGAGACUCUUGAGGGAUGGCUGUUAUGAGGAAAGGCAGCCCAGAAACUUUGCAAGCAGCACACAUCGUUGUGUGCCUCAACUUUCAGUCUUUUACCCAGGCUAAUCUGCCAUUUUCCUUCCUUGGUUAGGUUUAGGGAUUAGAGAUCUGAUCUAGAUAUCAUUUUAUGAUUUGGGACACAUCGUCAGUAGUCGACCUUGGAUUCAUCAGGUGUUUCGGCCAUUAUCAUUAGACACCCUCAUCAAGGAGGCCCUGCCAGGGUUGAUCAGGCCCUGGAGUCACUGGUUUAUGUUAAAUUGUUAUUUCUCUUCUUCUUUCUUCUGUUUAGUUUCCUACAUUUUCUUUUUAUCUAUUCACUGCAACUGAGAAAUAAUGCUUACCUCUUUAGUAUUUAUGGAGCCCUACUUCUUUAAAGGGAUAGAAAAGGUGAUACAGAGAAGUAAGACGAAAGGGACAAGAUAGGAGAGCCAGAAGGGGGGAGCCCGAUCUGGCUUCCCACACCUCCUCGCUGGAUCAGGCUAUACGCUCUACUUCCCCACUGCCUCCCAGAAAAGGGGAGAAGAGCAGAAUAUUUCUUUUCUCUCAUGGUUAGCUGACUGCUGUAGCUGCCUAAGUGAUGUCAGCCCUUUUAAACCACAGCCAGUGACUGGUCCUCUCAGCAGCAGGGCUCGCAAAAUCGCUAGCCCGACGUCCCAGGGCUAGCGAUUUUCCAGUCGGGCUACCAAAAUCUAUCUCAGCCCUGCCCGUCGGGCUAUCAUAGGAAGGGAAAAUAUAUGUCAAUGCUUUUGCAUUCUUUCGAAAAUGUAGCUGAGUAAUUAUGUCAUUGGCAUCGAUGAGCCACUGCCAAUAUGUGACAUAUUGAAAUCGCGUUUGAAUUUGUGCUUGUUUUUUGCUUUCACUUUCACUUUGCGAUCGCGCGAACGGUGUGUAGAGAGCGGCAGCACUGAUUGGUGAGUGACGAUUAAUUGCGCACCAAUUCCUCUGGCAUCAUCUUAUCACUCAUUAGCUUACUAUUCAAACGUGACAAGUGAAAUCUCCCACAGCAAGCUUAAACAUGUGAGAGGUUGAUUGCGCAGAGAAUCACUGACUGUUAUGUAAGUACGUGUGUAAAAGCAGCAGGAUUUACGCCAGUAUUUUAGUUCUGCUGAGCCAAAUAAGACAGGUCAGGGUGAAGAAGGGGCAGCCAAUGAAAAACCUACCACAAAACGGAAAAGUUAUGACAAAUCAGACUAUGAGGCAAAAAGAAAGCCAGCUUUUUGGUUUCAUGGACAAAAGAAUUUCUAUGGCUGGAUAUGACGAGCUAAAUAACAUGAUGUUCUGCCGGGUGUGUCGUGAGUUUCAUUUCAUUUGAGUCGACAAGCGCCUUUGUAACUGGGACCAGUAAUUUUAAGAAAGACCCCAUCAGAACCCAUGAGAAAUGCAAGAAAUGCAUUAUUGUCCAGUCUGCAAUAUCUUUCCCAGAACAAACAGCAAUUGCAAAAAACAUACUAAAAAUAAACCAAGCACAAGCAGAAGUCCUGAAAAAUCUUUCAAAAGCGUACUAUGUUGCAAAGAGUGAACUACCAUUGUCAAAAUUUAGCAGUUUUGCAAACUUCAAAAAGCAAAUGUCCUCGAUCUUGGUUCCACUUACCUCUUACCCUUGACUUCAGUGGAAAUUUCAGAUUCAGGAUCUGACACAGACUGAUUCAUGUUCUACACAGUUCUUACAAGUUCAUAGAAAUUUCUGUUCAAUUAGAAACAAGUAUUUGAGUUGAUGAUUGUAAUUUUUAUACAGUUGUUGUGAUUUGUAUUUUAACAAUUUCUGAUUAAUUUUUGUUUCCGUUACAAUAUUAUACUUUAAUGUAUAAUAUUGUAAAGGAAACAAAACAUUAAAAAAUUGCUCUCUUUUUUAUUCGGGCUACUUAAAUUUAUUUUGGGCUACCAAAAACUGAAGAGUGCCUGCCCGAAGGGCUACCAGAGAUUUUGAAAUUUUGCGAGCCUUGAGCAGUGUUAGCUAGUUCUCUUAUAGCCUGCAGUUGUGCCUGUCCUUUGAUCCCAGUCUCUCUAAGCAGUUUUGCUGUUGUACUGACAACAAAGCCCCUGCACUCCACUUCCACCAGGUGCACCUUGAUCUUCCAGCCUCUGUCCUCUGCCUCAGCUGCCAAGUUGCAUAGUGCAGCUUCUUACACUCA
ensembl:lncRNA